rnacentral:misc_RNA from 1 species
AAGUCGUAACAAGGUUUCCGUAGGUGAACCUGCGGAAGGAUCAUUACUAGAGCAAAGGAUAGACACUACCUUACCUCGGUAAGGUUUAGAGUCGUCGGGCCUCUCGGAGAAGCUCGGUCCUGAACUCCACCCUUGAAUAAAUUACCUUUGUUGCUUUGGCGGGCCGCCUCGUGCCAGCGGCUUCGGCUGUUGAGUGCCCGCCGGAGGACCACAACUCUUGUUUUUAGUGAUGUCUGAGUACUAUAUAAUAGUUAAAACUUUCAACAACGGAUCUCUUGGUUCUG